GUAGGUAACCUGCCUUGUANCGGGGGAUAACUAUUGGAAACGAUAGCUAAUACCGCAUAACAAUGGAUGACACAUGUCAUUUAUUUGAAAGGGGCAAUUGCUCCACUACAAGAUGGACCUGCGUUGUAUUAGCUAGUAGGUGAGGUAAUGGCUCACCUAGGCGACGAUACAUAGCCGACCUGAGAGGGUGAUCGGCCACACUGGGACUGAGACACGGCCCAGACUCCUACGGGAGGCAGCAUG
rnacentral:rRNA from 1 species